AUUGAACGCUGGCGGCAGGCUUAACACAUGCAAGUCGAACGAGCGGCGGACGGGUGAGUAAUGUAUGGGGAUCUGCCUGAUGGCGGGGGAUAACUCCUGGAAACGGUAGCUAAUACCGCAUACCAUCAGAUGAACCCAUAUGGGAUUAGCUUGUAGGUGAGGUAACGGCUCACCUAGGCGACGAUCCCUAGCUGGUCUGAGAGGAUGAUCAGCCACACUGGGACUGAGACACGGCCCAGACUCCUACGGGAGGCAGCAGUGGGGAAUAUUGCACAAUGGGCGCAAGCCUGAUGCAGCCAUGCCGCGUGUAUGAAGAAGGCCUUCGGGUUGUAAAGUUCUUUCGGUAGCGAGGCGUUAACUACAGAAGAAGCACCGGCUAACUCCGUGCCAGCAGCCGCGGUAAUAC
rnacentral:rRNA from 1 species